rnacentral:lncRNA from 1 species
CGUCACUCCCGGCAACGAAUGAAACAGCAAAUGAAGGGUAAUUCAAAUCUGUGACGCUGUAUGUUUUGCUUGAAUCACACGUGAAGUUUCUUCUCGCUAAGCUGUUGAUUUGUGAUGGAGUGUAUUUCAAUGCACACAUGAAAUUGAGGUAAUCAUCGGCGUUUAUGUCGUAAACAAGACCUGGGUUCACUGCCGAAACGGGAUCCACGUGUCCAGCGCCGUGGUCGAAAGGUGUAGAUGGUUUUCCGGUGGCGACAUCUACUAGUGCUCCGCCGUUCUUGUAGACGGUGUAAGCGGAGGUCAUGAGCGCCGAACGAAUGGCGGCGGGGCUCCAUUCUGGGUGGACUCCUUUUAUCAAAGCCGCCAAGCCGCUCACGUGUGGACACGACAUGGAUGUGCCUGAGAUAAUGUUGAACUCGACCCGUCUAUCGUCCUCUGCCAUCCCCGUCGGGCCGACGGCUCCGGUCCAACCGGCCAGAAUGUUUACACCGGGCGCGAUAAUAUCCGGUUUGAGUAUCUCCGGGGUGAUUGAAUUUGGGCCUCUAGAACUGAACGCUGCGACAACCGGUGACGGUUCGAUGUCUACUUUUGUUCCUCCAAAAAGAAUUUCGGCCGUUGGAUUAGGAUCUGAGAAUAAAUAUUUCUUGAUUACAUCACCGGCUUUUUGACCCACCGCCGCCGCUGGAAGUAAAUGGGCGUCAGCCACUAGUUCCUCCCCAUUUGCUGCGGUGUUAGCCAAAACCAUGCCGGCUCCACCAGCCUCUUUUACCACAAAACCCUUUUGGACUCGAGCGCUAAUCCCUCUGUCACACAGCACAAUUUUUCCUUUAACUUUCUCAGGAAUUAAGGUACCCAUCAUACAGAGAUUUCCACUGGUUACAUUGCUGGCAUUACCAGCAUACACCAAGGGAAGCAUUUUAUUAAGUAAUGAAUCACCCGCGUAAAGUGAAACGCCGGAGAAAUUUUUACCAUUGCCAAGGCUUACAUAUGCUGGAAAAUCACGGUCAAUUGUUCCAGCACCGACUGUGGUGAUCCAAGGUGCUUGGUUGGCCAAACUGAAUUGAUUAGGUCCAGCAUUUCCAGCAGAGCAAGAAACCAAAAUACCCUUCUCCAUAGCAGCAAAAGCUCCAAUUGCAAUGCUAUCUUUGUAGUAAUCUGGUGUGCUUCCACCAAGUGAUAAUGAAAGCACAUCAACUUUAUCAUCAAUGGCUUUGUCCAUCCCUGCCAAUAUGUCAGAGUUAAAACAUCCCCCAAGCCAGCAAACUUUGUACAUGGCAACUCUGGCACGAUAGGCCAUUCCACGAGCAGUUCCUGAAGCAUAACCAAAAAGGCUAGCACCCUGAACAACUGAACCAGCUGCUGUCGAAGCAGUGUGUGUUCCAUGUCCAUCAUCAUCCCUAGGAGAUUUAGACUCCUUGGACUCAUCAAUUGGUCCAAGAGUAGUUUCAUAACCCCUAGAAAAAUACCUCGCUCCAACAAGCUUUCUGUUACACAUGGCAGAACUGAAGUUGUUGCUGGACUCACACUCACCUUUCCACGAAUCUGGUACAGGUCCAAAUCCAGUAUCGUCAAAGCUCUUUCUCUCCGGCCAAACCCCUGUAUCGAGUACUCCGACAAUGACAUCACUCAUAGCAUCGGACUCAGGAAAGAUAUUAACACUUCUAUCAAGUCCCAAAAAAAGAGGUGUCCGAGUAGUGUGGAGUUGGUAUAUCAGCUCAGGCAAAACAGAGAGAAUCCCAGGUUGGGUCUCUAAGGAUUCAGCUUGUCGAGCUGUAAGCCUUGCUGCAAAACCAUGAACAACGUUUUUAUAAACAUAGAUCAUCUCUGCUGAUUCAGAGACGGAUUUGAGGGACGCGUCAUACCAGUGAGUAUGAUCAUCAAAUAUUGCUGGCAUUUGUGAUUUAGCCAUGUGAAUGAUGUAUGUUUUCUUCUCCACCAUUGCCACAGACAUGUGACAUAGGCACACAAGUACAACAACUAGUAGUGUGUAUGUAGACAUUUUUGAUUAAUUUUUCGCUUGGACUGCUGCAUUAAUAAGAGGGAGUGGAUGAACAAGCAAUGAGAAACUUAAGGUAAUAUAUAUAGGAAAAUUAAAAGAGUGGGGCUAGAUGUUGAUGUUGUUUUCUUUUUAUGAAUGAUUGGAAACAGCCAGCCUAGCAGACCAAGUGAUAAAAUAAAGAUUAAAGAGUAAAAAAAGAAGGAUCACAUUUCUUAACGUAUGAAAUCAAAGAAUUUCAUUCUCCUUUCAUCACGUUAUCUUCCAGUCCGCCUUUUUAUCCACUUCUUUUUUUCUUUUCUAGUCAGUGAACCUCUUUUCACCUUCCACUUUACCAUUUGCUCAUUUGCACAAGAAAAGCUACAAAAAAGAAAAAAAAAACAGAAUCGCAAAAUUCUUCAAGUUGCCAUCCAAAUUUCAUUUUCUUUUUACCUACAUUAAUGGCCAUCCGCAAAGAUGGUGAGUACUCUUUUAUUCUCAAUCAUAGUUUCGCAAUGAGGAUAUGGAGCAAAGUAUUCCGUAGAUUUUUUAUUUUUUUUUACAGAUUUCAGUUGGUAGGGAAAUUCAUUGCUGAAGGACACUUCGAUUAAUAAAUGCUGUAGAUUUCAUGAAGAGGCUUGACGAUUUCCAACUUCCAAUAACUAUAAUAAUAAAGAUAAAAGGAGAAAUAAAUCUUUACCAUUAUGAACAAUAGUGGUUCACGGGUCCAUACAGAAAUGGAGUAGCUUUUAGUGUUAGGAGUAACAUUUAUUUGUGUGGAAAAAAAAAAGAAGAAGAAGGAGGAGGUAGAUGGUUGGUGAGAUGUUAAAUUAAUUCAAAUAUCCUAUUUUCUAACUAUUACCAUGUUUUGUUUUUCGAGUUUAAAUUAGAUAUACCAUCACUAAAUAUUUUAGUAUUUAUUUUCUUGUUGACUAAUUAAGACAAAAAUAAUUAUUGAAAUUCUGUUUUUUUGUAGUUGCUUUAUUCAAACAAGAACAGACAAGGUUCAACGUAGGUGCGGGGUCUAGUAAUUAAACAAAUCAAACAUUAUUUAAUGGUAGAUACCCUAAUUAUCGAUGAAAAACGAGAUAUUUUAAUUGUUUGUGAAUCCCGUGUCCCAAAAUUUGUACUAUUAUAUACUAUGAAAUAGAGGACUUGUAGUGUUUGAGACUACCUUUUCUAGUAGCCUUUGAACAUAUAAUAGAAUAAUUUUGAAAAUAAAGAUGUACCUUUCACAAUUAAAAUAAGGAAAUCAAAAGCUUUUAAGUUUUGUUUAUAGUUAGAGUAUGAUCUGGAAACAAGCAAGAGCAAGCUUAAUCCAAUUGCUGGCAAGAAUUAUACAAAUAUAUAUAAUGAUAUUAUUAGUUAAUAAAUGAACUACAAAAUGUACAAGUAAUCUUGUAUAUAUUUUUCUUGCUUCUUUCAAAUUAGGAAAAAGUACGUGUAAUGACAGUUGAAUAGUAUAAGACCUGGGAAUAUAUUUGCAAAUUAUCUAAUCGAGUCUUUCAUUAUUUGAAUGUGACAUUCUUGGGUGUAGGCUACAUACUUGCAUUCAUGGAUUUGCUGAUGAGAAUGAUAUUAUGUGUUAAUUGGGACGAAAUUUUAGGACUUCUUAUAUGAUCUGGACAAUUCUUCUCUCUUUGAUAUAGAAUUUAAGGUCGAUUAAUUUGAUUCGAGAUUAAUUUAACAUGUUAUUAAAGUCGAUUCAAUUGAGUGUGAUGUGGGGUCCACAAACCAAGUUGGGGUGGUGAUAUGAAUGAUCGCAUAUUAUAUUUGGAAGAGAUUGGUGAUUUUUCUUAUAUGAUUUUGAAUAAUUCUCUUUCUUGGAGCUAGCUUUUGAGAUUGAGUCCAAAAUUCAUUCUAACAUAUGUUCUAUCAUACGUGAUUUCUUACAUUGGGGCAAAAGCUUCAACAUGUAUAGAGUACAAAAUUUCUAGUCACUACAAAAAGACAUUUAGGGGGAAUAAAUAUUUCCUUAUAACGCAAAAAUAUUUAGCAAUAAUUAAGUUAAUGUUAUUACAUUUAAUGAGAGUAAAACCUUUAACAACAUUUAUAUAAACUGUUAGUUACAAUUAAUACCCACCCAAAUUUACUGUUACCAUUAAAUAUAAUAUAGCAAUAAUUAUAUUAUUACCAUAAAAUUCUUUAUUUGUUGAGGUAACCUUCUAUGAAACUUAAAACUUUCUUUCAUUGAAUGAAUAACUUCUAGUCCUAUAAUAUUUGUCAACAACACGGUAUAAACAGUAUAGAACAUUAUAAACCAUAUAGUAGAAUAUUAGUUGUCAUUUUACAACUGGUAAAUAACACUGUCAUGUGGAAUUUCAUUUACUUGUGGACUUAUGGUGUUGCCAGAUUGGCAAUGAUCGAGUUAAUGACUAUCAUAUACUUUCAAUGAAUUUCUUUUUUGCUGGUCCACUGUUGAUUUUUUUAAGUGGGGAUAUUUUGAAUAGGAUACAUGCUUCAUUAUAAAAUUAAAAAAAUGGCAACUAUUUCCUAAUAUUUUUAAAGACCAUCCAGUAUAAAAAUAAGUGUUAGGACGAAAUGAGCUGUAAGACAAAACAUGUGUGAUCAUCAAACUUAUGAUGAAUUUCUAUGUUUACCAGAGUGUAACCAGUUUAUGAGUUCGUCAAUUCAGUAACAAAUUGAUCAUUUGUUAGUGUUAAAAAUGAGCUCAAAUAUAGGUAACAUGAUCAAGUUAUACUAAAUUUCAAGGAUUAGGCUCAAGAUAAUUUGAGUUGAGUUCAAUCUCAAUUUAUUCACGUCUUAACCUAAAAGAAUCCUAAUUGGACCUAAUUUAACCUCCAAUUCUAAGUCCGUCGUAAAACUCUUUUUUUGCAUUGAUAUAAUAUGUGUUCCUAUUUUGAAGAUAUAAUUACUAUCUAUAUUUUAUCUUUUAGAAUUUACUUAUCCAUUUUUAAUUUUUUUAUAAAAAUAAAUAUAAAAAUAAAAUCUUGAGUUGAAAAUCAAUUGUGUCUAUAAAAGUUAAAUAAUAGUAUGUUAAAAUUAUUAACAUUAAGCAUGUCAAAUUGGACAAAUUAUAAUUCAAUUCAAUUUUUAACCAAUUAAGUCCAAAUAAAUUUAGAUGGUCAAGACUCGUUCUAAACUUCACCUCUAAUUUCUUGGAAGGAUUAUCAGGCUACCAUGCCCUUAAAGUCUAUAUGUGCCAGACUAGACUCUUAAAAUUAUGACAUAUUUUAUUUUCUUUAACAGAAUUUGUUUUGACGUAAAAAAAAAAUUUAUUUAUCUAACAAAAUAAAAAGCUUUAUAAGAUAUCAAUACAUAUUUCUAGAUAUUUGAUUUGAUAUGAAAUUAACUCGAGAUCAAUUUCUUUUUUAUUUGAGAGUAUUGACUAUACCCCAGUUCGGAGCUUCAUGCAUGUUAUUCAUUCCAAGUGACAUGUUCGGUCUGUAACCAGUGUGAAAUCUCGAAAGAAUCAAAGAUUCAUAUAUUUAUGCAUCUAUACAAGUAUAUAUGAAGCAUUAAGUGAUACUUGGCUGAAAAUAAUGUCAAAAGUAUAUGAGAUACAGCACCUAAAACCACACUCAGAUACAAUACUUGGUACGAAACAUCACUGCACUGUGAGCAAGAAGCAUAAAUUUCUUUGAUUAACUUUACAUUAAAUCGAUAGCAGCUAUAUAUAGCUCUUUAAUUUGUUCAUAUAAUUCAUGACCAAGAAAUUGCAACUGGACUAGUGACCAAAUGCGUCCCAUCUGACCACUCAAUUUUGCCGAAUACAUUGGUAGAUGGGGGCUUUGAUGGAGCAGUAAAACUCACACUAUACGAUAUCUUCUCAUUAAUCUGAGUAAAACUAACUGUUUCAGGUUCAACUAUAAUUUCCACGGAACUAUCGGGCAAAGUAACAGCAACUUUGUAUGUUCCAGACGGUCCAACAUUAGUCAGUGUCCGGCUGUAUCUGAUUGUGUUUGAACCGGUAUCGGCAGGGAAUGCAACUGAAAACGAAGGGUAAUUCAAAUCUGUGACGCUGUAUAUUUUGCUUGAAUCACAUGUGAAGUUUCUUCUUGCUAUGAUAUUGAUUUGUGAUGGACUGUAUUUCAAUGCACACAGGAAAUUGAGGUAAUCAUCGGCGUUUAUGUCGUAAACAAGACCUGGGUUCACCGCUGAAACGGGAUCCACGUGCCCAGCGCCGUGACCGAAAGGUGUAGAUGGUUUUCCGGUAGCUACGUCUAGUAGUGCUCCGCCGUU